CUGGAGGUAUCAGAAGUGCGAAUGCUGACAUAAGUAACGAUAAAGCGGGUGAAAAGCCCGCUCGCCGGAAGACCAAGGGUUCCUGUCCAACGUUAAUCGGGGCAGGGUGAGUCGACCCCUAAGGCGAGGCCGAAAGGCGUAGUCGAUGGGAAACGGGUUAAUAUUCCCGUACUUGGUGUUACUGCGAAGGGGGGACGGAGAAGGCUAUGUUGGCCGGGCGACGGUUGUCCCGGUUUAAGCGUGUAGGUGUGUGUUCCAGGUAAAUCCGGUUCACUUUAACACUGAGGCGUGAUGACGAGGCACUACGGUGCUGAAGCAACAAAUGCCCUGCUUCCAGGAAAA
rnacentral:rRNA from 3 species